AGCGAACGCUGGCGGCAGGCUUAACACAUGCAAGUCGAACGGGCAUAGCAAUAUGUCAGUGGCAGACGGGUGAGUAACGCGUGGGAACGUACCUUUUGGUUCGGAACAACACAGGGAAACGUUGUGCUAAUACCGGAUAAGCCCUUACGGGAAAGAUUUAUCGCCGAAAGAUCGGCCCGCGUCUGAUUAGCUAGUUGGUAGGGGUAAUGGCCUACCAAGGCGACGAUCAGUAGCUGGCUGAGAGGAUGAUCAGCCACAUUGGGAC
rnacentral:rRNA from 1 species